rnacentral:lncRNA from 1 species
CAAAAAAGCGCCCCAAAAGAGAAAUCUCUUUCUUUUGUGUGCUCAUCAACAAAAGCGGCGGUCCCUGUGCCCCUCGAAAAGACAAAAGGACGCGCAGGAAAAAAAAAAGAAGAAAUCCGCCAAAGAAGGAGACGACAGAGACAGGCGCGUGCGUGCGCGCACGCCAUGUUAGGGCAAGGCAAAGCGCGGCUCGUCGGCAAACAAUCGUGCGAUGCGGUCGCUCUGGUAGGGUUUGAGGACAUGCUCAAAGAUGGCGUCGGUGCGCUCCAUGGCAUCGAUCCAGGCGAGCAUCCCGCGCAGGCUCCCUCGUACGCCGACGAUGCGCGACAGGUCGUCGUUGCCGGCUACGCGAAACGGUGCGUUGGUGUGACUCUCGCAGAGAGCGUCCGCCAGCGCCGACGAUCUGUCCGAGCAGAGAGCCGCAUAGGGCGGCGGUCGGUCUUGGAUGGCGACGGCGCGCUGCAGACGCCGCUCGACGAUGUCGAUGAGCGAUCUCAGUACGGCGCCCGUGCUGUCGAUGGCCUCGGCCGUCCAUCCAUCGGCGCCGGGACCGGCCGCCAGCGAUUCCACGGCGACGCGCAUCCAGAAGAGAUCCCACAAGCCUUGCACGCGGAAAAAAACGGGUGCUUCGUCGCAAGGAACCCGCGACGGAACCAUGUGGACCAUGAGCGAGGCCGCGCUAAUGGCGUCGGCCACCUCCUGGUCGGUCCAUCUCUCUGACGGAUCGAGUCGGUGAUGAAAAAAGAACCCGAUGCCGUCUUCAUGGCGCGUGACAAAUGUUGUGGCAUGGUGCGUCGAUGCCUCGGUCGGCGGCAAGGCACCACAAAUGACGUCGAUGCCGAGGCUCCAUCUCGGGGGUAUGGACUGGAGGACGGCGCGGGCCACACAGCGGUUAUGGUCAAACUCGGCCUUGGCCAGGGCCGACUCGUCGACGGUACCCGUUCGCGCAUCGACGCAGGCCCAUAAGCGGGCGCCGAUCUCGCCCAAGUCAAACCGCAGAUCGGUUUCGGACCGCCCCGUCUUUGGUUCCAUCUUUUCUUUUUCCUUUUUCUUUUUUUUUUGCUGUAUCUUCCUCCUUUGUUGGGCCUCUCCCUGUUUAGCCUCGGAUGAACAAAGGCAGACACAAAAAACUCGCAGCGGCGUUCUGUAUUAUUUUUGCGUAUUGUGUGCACUGCCGACUCGCGCACGGUCCUGCCGCUGAAUUUUUUUAAAGGGGAGGCAGAGGUUAG